rnacentral:rRNA from 1 species
GAUGAACGCUGGCGGCGUGCCUAAUACAUGCAAGUCGAGCGAACAGACGAGGAGCUUGCUCCUUUGACGUUAGCGGCGGACGGGUGAGUAACACGUGGGUAACCUACCUAUAAGACUGGGAUAACUUCGGGAAACCGGAGCUAAUACCGGAUAAUAUUUCGAACCGCAUGGUUCGAUAGUGAAAGAUGGCUUUGCUAUCACUUAUAGAUGGACCUGCGCCGUAUUAGCUAGUUGGUAAGGUAACGGCUUACCAAGGCAACGAUACGUAGCCGACCUGAGAGGGUGAUCAGCCACACUGGAACUGAGACACGGUCCAGACUCCUACGGGAGGCAGCAGUAGGGAAUCUUCCGCAAUGGGCGAAAGCCUGACGGAGCAACGCCGCGUGAGUGAUGAAGGUCUUCGGAUCGUAAAACUCUGUUAUUAGGGAAGAACAAACGUGUAAGUAACUGUGCACGUCUUGACGGUACCUAAUCAGAAAGCCACGGCUAACUACGUG